AAGAUCUACGCCCUCUGUCAGUGCAAAAGAAAAAAGAAAAAAGCAGAGAUCCAUACCCCCCUGAGGAUCUCGCUAGACAUCUGAAAGGACAAACUUCUUCAGAGAAUUACCUUAAAGACUUAACAAGCUUUUUAUUAGUUUUAUUUAAAACACUCUCCUUGGUAUUCCUAGUGCCACAUGGAGACAGAACAUCCAACAGAAAUCUUUAGUUCUUUCGAGAAAGUCUGAAGAUCUAAACAACCUUCAGCAGUUGAUCAGAUCAGAGCUCAGGAACAAACUUAAUUCAGUUCAAGAGGAUCUGCGAUGGGAAGAAAUCGGAGGCCAGGAUGAUUUUUGUGAUCUUGUGGGCUGUCUGAUGUCACGGCUCCGUCGCUUGUGCUCUCCCUCAGCUGAACAGCUUUCUGCUCAGUGUGUGGACCAAUCAAUGGCGUUGAAAGCUGUGAUCGUCUACGGGGAUCAGGAAUUCCCCAUAACACAGCUGCUGCAAGUGGAAGAUAACCAUUGGAGAAGACAUCUUCAACUGAAAAUAUGAAAACUGUUACAUAAUAACUGCUGUGACAGUAUGAAAUAAAACAGUUUCCAAGUUUA